rnacentral:rRNA from 1 species
GUAAGGCGGACGGGUGAGUAACACGUGGGUAACCUGCCUGUAAGACUGGGAUAACUCCGGGAAACCGGGGCUAAUACCGGAUGGUUGUUUGAACCGCAUGGUUCAAACAUAAAAGGUGGCUUCCGGCUACCACUUACAGAUGGACCCGCGGCGCAUUAGCUAGUUGGUGAGGUAACGGCUCACCAAGGCAACGAUGCGUAGCCGACCUGAGAGGGUUCGAUCGGCCACACUGGGACUGAAGACACGGGCCCCAGACUCCCUUACGGGAAGGGCAGCCAGUAGGGAAAUUCUUCCGGCCAAUGGACCGGAAAGUCUGAACGGAGCCAAACGCCGGCGUGAGUGAUGAAGGUUUUUCGGAUCGUAAAGGCCUCUGUUGUUAGGGAAGAACCAAGUACCGUUUCGAAUAGGGGCGGUACCUUGAACGGUACCUAACCCAAGAAAGCCACGGCUAAACUACGUGCCAGCAGCCGCGGUAAUACGUAGGUGGCAAGCGUUGUCCGGAAUUAUUGGGCGUAAAGGGCUCGCAGGCGGUUUCUUAAGUCUGAUGUGAAAGCCCCCGGCUCAACCGGGGAGGGUCAUUGGAAACUGGGGAACUUGAGUGCAGAAGAGGAGAGUGGAAUUCCACGUGUAGCGGUGAAAUGCGUAGAGAUGUGGAGGAACACCAGUGGCGAAGGCGACUCUCUGGUCUGUAACUGACGCUGAGGAGCGAAAGCGUGGGGAGCGAACAGGAUUAGAUACCCUGGUAGUCCACGCCGUAAACGAUGAGUGCUAAGUGUUAAGGGGGUUUCCGCCCCCUUAGUGGCUGCAGCUAACGCAUUAAGGCAC